rnacentral:rRNA from 1 species
UACGUAGGGCGCAAGCGUUGUCCGGAAUCAUUGGGCGUAAAGGGCGCGUAGGUGGCUUCUUAAGCGUGCGGUGAAAGCCUGGGGCUCAACCCCGGGUCGGCCGUGCGAACUGGGGGGCUGGAGCACUGUAGAGGCAGGCGGAAUUCCGGGUGUAGCGGUGGAAUGCGUAGAGAUCCGGAAGAACACCGGUGGCGAAGGCGGCCUGCUGGGCAGUUGCUGACACUGAGGCGCGACAGCGUGGGGAGCAAACAGG